GUGGGGAAUAUUGGACAAUGGGCGCAAGCCUGAUCCAGCAAUGCCGCGUGCAGGAAGAAGGCCUUCGGGUUGUAAACUGCUUUUGUACGGAACGAAACGGCUCUGGUUAAUACCCGGGGCUAAUGACGGUACCGUAAGAAUAAGCACCGGCUAACUACGUGCCAGCAGCCGCGGUAAUACGUAGGGUGCAAGCGUUAAUCGGAAUUACUGGGCGUAAAGCGUGCGCAGGCGGGUUUGUAAGACAGGCGUGAAAUCCCCGGGCUCAACCUGGGAAUGGCGCUUGUGACUGCAAAGCUGGAGUGCGGCAGAGGGGGAUGGAAUUCCGCGUGUAGCAGUGAAAUGCGUAGAUAUGCGGAGGAACACCGAUGGCGAAGGCAAUCCCCUGGGCCUGCACUGACGCUCAUGCACGAAAGCGUGGGGAGCAAACAGGAUUAGAUACCCGAGUAGUCC
rnacentral:rRNA from 1 species